rnacentral:lncRNA from 1 species
AGGUACAAGAGGCAAAUCCUGAGGGAGCUUUAUGCGGGAAUGCAUAACAGGCAUAUUAGGACCUGGGACAGCGGCUAUCGAUGCCCAUUUUGCAAUCACAAGCUUCAUGACGCGUAUCAAAGUGUUCUGGCGCAUGCAAGAGGACGGGCCGUUGGCUCCUUCAAGAAGAAGUAUUCUCGCAGGGUGGAGCACGGCCGUACGCCGUGUACCUGGAGAAGCUUCAGGAUCAUGCCGGCAUGUGAGAUGAGGAGUGGGAUCGAACUAUCUACGCUUGAGCAUGCGUAAUGACGGUUGAACUAUGCUUGUCUAUGUGUACGCUUAUUAUCUAUGUCUAAGUAUGUUUAAUCUAUGUUUACUUAUGUCUAACUGUGGGAUAUGGAUGCAAUCAGUUUGGUUGAUGGAAUCUACCUCCGUCCUCGUUUAUUGGCGCCCUUUGUAAUUUGUGUUAAAUGUUGACCAACGAUUUAACUAACAAAAUGUUAGUGUAGGUCAGCAAAAAUUAUAUCAUUGGAUGCGUAUUUGAACAUAGUGUUCAAUGAUAUAAUUUUUGGUGACAUGCAGAAACAUUUCUUAGUCAAUUAUUUUGUCGAAAUUUGGUACAAAUUGUAGAGGGGACCAAUAAACCAGGACGGAGGUAGUACGUCAAUCACACACGGUUCCCAAAAUUUGAACCGUGUGCAAUGACUUUCAUUUUGCCUGUUGCUUCAAUCACACAUGGUUCCCAAAAUUGGAAUAGUGUGCAAUGACUUUUGUCUUGCUUGUUGCACCAAUCACACACGGUUGGCUCUAGCAAAUAGUUGCCUCCAAAAUUCUUUGUGGGACAGAAAACCCUCACCACCCAAUUCAAAAAAGAAAAAAGAAAACACUCGCCAUACCCAUGUCACAAAAACCCUGACCCCCGCCCGCCACGCCAUGCCUCUGGUCGCCAUUCACACCUGCACAAGCUCCUCCGCAUCUGUGCAUGGCACCGCCUAUCGUGGCAGUAACCACUUAGCUCGACGCCUGCCACUGCUGCCAGGCUACCGGCAAACCCCACCACAGUUCGCCACUUCCGCUUGCCGCCGCCUAUCGCCAUCGACGUUCUCGACGCUGCCCGCGGUCGACUCAGCUCCGCUCGGUUGGGGAGUCUGCCGUAUUGAGGGUUUUUUCUCAUGGACGACAAGGUAACUAAUUUAAUGAGAUAUUAUCCCAUCUCACAUCCCAGUUCAUCAGCCUCUUUUAAUCACCCGGCAGAAAUCACCGUGAAUUCAUUUUUAUUCGAGAUGAUUUGAGGGUUUUCUUUCAUUCAUAGAGUGUACAGUGCACUGACACAUCAGGACCUUGCGACCUCCGCCAGAGAUUCCAUCUGACUGUACCAGAUGACUUGAGCAUGUGCACGGUAUGUUCAAUCUCACCCUAAAUCGGUUGGCAUGGCCUACUUUCCUGAAGAUAUUCUAAAUAUUGCCACAUUUGGAUAAAAGGUGCCACAUGCACCAUAUACGUCAAAGGGGAUUUCCCCCUCUUCUUUCUAUAUUAGGCAAAUUAAUGAUGUAUUGUUCUUUUGAUUACUCUCAUAUUUCCAUGACAUCAUAUUUACCCUAUAUGUUUGGUUAUAGAUUUUUGUCCUUCGAUUUCAAUUGAUGUACAGUUCUUUCAAUUUGGGCCCAUAUUUGCAUGUUACCAUAUUUUCUUUAACAAUCCUACCAUUUUCUGCAGCGCAUCCCUUACUAUGCAACAGAUUAUGUAGUGCGCAAUUUUUCCCUUUACAUAGAUCAAGGCUGCACGGAUGUCAUACUGCACACAAACCAUGGAUUUACAAUUGUUGCUACUGUAAGACUUGAUGAACGUGGCGAAACCUAUUUUGGCGCUAGCUUUUGGAAAGAAAUUUCUAAGUUUUAUGUACUGAAAGCUGGCACUAAAAUUGGACUGCACAUAAAAGGGCCUGGUCAUGAGAUAUAUGCUAACUGCCCCGACAAAAUCAUCCGUCAUGACUUUGUUCAAAGUAAGUUUUCUUUUCAACUAUCUGCAUGUUGACUUACCCAGCAAUGUUAAAUGAAUUGUGCAAUAUUUAAGCAACCAAUUGUUAUUCCCUUUUCUUACUAUAUUCCUACCUAAUAACUUCUAGUUACCAAUACACUUUUCUAUUGCUGUGUUUUAACUAAAUAUUCCAUGUACUCUCAUUUCUAUCAGAAAGUGCCGCUGACAAGGAGACUCCGGAGGUGGAGAACGGGGCUACCAACAAGCGGAGGCGGGGUGAGCUAGAACCGCAAGCAACUCCAGCAGGCAUAGACUUCAUCAGCAGCCUCCUCGAUGAUGUGUUGACAGUCAUCAUCACCCUCCUCCCAAUCAAAUGUGGGGCGUGGAUAACCGUCCUUUCCUGGCGGUGGCGCCCCCUAUGGAACUUCACCCCUCUCGACCUGAUCGACACCGACGAGCUCUGCCAUGGCUAUCGCCAAAGCUUAGAUGCAUUCUCCAAGAUCCUCGGCAGUCACCCUGGCCCAACCAGAUCCUUAGAAUGGGCAAGUUCCAUUCCAACGGCAGGGAUCGAGCCAAGCUUGAUGACUGGUUCGGAUCCCCCGCCCUAGAUCUGCUCGAGGAGCUCACUUUUGAUGAUGGGCAUAUGCGCUCGCUGCCAACGUCCGCGCUCCGCCUCGCGCCCACGCUGCGCGUUGCCAAGUUUAGGAACUGCCAUCCCCCCUUAAUGGCGCGCCCACUCUUAUUCUACCACGACUGAAGCACCUCGAGCUCGUCGCCAUCUACCUCUCAAAUGGUGACAUGGAGCGCCUGCUCCGUGGCUGUACUACACUCGAGUACCUUCGUCUUCAAGCGAUCAAAGUUGAGUACAUUCCACAUCACCUCCAUGACUCUCCACACUAUUUAUGUGUGUUGCUGGUUCAGCAGGAAGACAUCACAAGAUGUGUACCACAGUAUGGUCACUGAGGACACACCUGCACUUGAGAGAUUACUUGUACUUGAUCAAGUAGGUCCAACAAGAAUCAAUGUCAUUUCUGCACCGAAAUUGACAGUGAUGGGCUACUCGUCUGACAAAUACUCCGAACUUGUUAUUGGAUCCACACCCAUUCAGGUAAACAGCCGCCUUCUACCUCUCCUUCUACAAAUUAACAUUAUUUGUAAUUUUGAAGAUAUUUGUUCGUGUGUCAUUCAGAAAAUGAUUCCGACAAGCCUGACCGCGAAACUACACACGAUGAAGUGAAGGAAAUAUGCCCUAGAGGCAAUAAUAAAGUUAUUAUUUAUUUCAUCAUAUCAUGAUAAAUGUUUAUUAUUCAUGAUAGAGUUGUAUUACCCGGAAACAUAAUGCAUGUGUGAAUACAUAGACAUAGUAUGCCUCUACUUGACUAGCUCGUGAAUCAAAGAUGGUUAAGUUUCCUAACCAUAGACAUGAGUUGUCAUUUGAUUAACGGGAUCACAUCAUUAGGAGAAUGAUGUGAUUGACUUGACCCAUUCCGUUAGCUUAGCACUUGAUCGUUUAGUAUGUUGCUAUUGCUUUCCUCAUGACUUAUACAUGUUCCUAUGACUAUGAGAUUAUGUAACUUCCGCUUAUCGUAGGUACACUUUGUGUGCUACCAAGCGUCACAAUGUAACUGGGUAACUAUAAAGGUGCUCUAAAGGUGUCUCCAAAGGUACUUGUUGAGUUGACGUAUUUCGAGAUUAGAAUUUGACACUCCGAUUGUCGGAGAGGUAUCUCUGGGCCCUCUCGGUAAUGCACAUCACUAUAAGCCUUGCAAGCAAUGUAGCUAAUGAGUUAGUUACGGGAUGAUGAAUUACGUAACGAGUAAAAAGACUUGCCGGUAACGAGAUUGAACUAGGUAUUGAGAUACCGACGAUUGAAUCUCGGGCAAGUAACAUAGCGAUGACAAAGGGAAUUACGUAUGUGAUGCGGAGCAUCCCAUGUUCAUCCCCAUGUAUACUCCGACUACUCUCCAAACCCCAAGGAUACAUAAGAUGAGGCAUUGACUAUGCACCAUUGCACACAAGGUGAAUUCACUCCUCUUCGAACUGUCACUUUCCGCAUGCAAGAUAUGGAUGCUACCUCAAGCGCGAACCUUGUGCAUACUCAGGUACACCCGAGGAGAUCAUGGAGAGCCCAAGGACCAAGGCCAAGUGUGCGCUGAAGCAAAGGAAGAAGAGUCUGCUGCUACAGCAGCUAGACAUCCGGCCAUGUCCCGGACAUCCGGCCCAACCACCGGAAAUCCGGCCUCCAUCACAGAAUGCAUCUGGAGGCGACCCCGACAGCCGGACAUCCGGUCCCGUGCCCCGGACAUCCGGCUCCUCCCGAAGCCCCGGACAUCCGGCCCUCCUCGUCGGAAAUCCGGCCCCUGGUGUCUAGAGAGCAACCGCAAGGCACCCAGGCCAGCCCGGACAUCCGGCCCGUCGCGAAGCCCCGGACAUCCGGCUCCCACCCCGGACAUCCGGCGCCUGUCUACGCACAGUGAACGGGCCAAGGGCCCAUGUAUCCCUCUCACUUACCCCUUCGAGGCUAAGGCCUAUAUAUACUCCACCACCUCCUCCUAGUUAGGGUUAGCAUUGGUUUAGCUCAUAUUUUGUGUGAGAGCCUUGCUCAUCCACUUGGUUACUUCUCCUCGGAGCUUACGACCUCUUCGGAGAAGAUCCCCCAAGCGGAUUCAAGACCCCUUCAAGGGAAGACAAUCAAGACCUCCUCACGGAGAAGAACGGCUAUCCGUGUAUCUUUCCUUUGUUUAUUUUGAAUCUUGUGCUACCUUAUGUGUUCGGUGAUCUAGCCCUUGUGUGAUCGAUUACUUGUCGGUUUAGUGAUCCUCUCGUUUCUCCUCAUGUUUUCCCUUGUGUUUUCCGCGCGUUCUUCGUGUCUCCCCGUAGGAUCCACUCCAAACAUGAAAGAUCGGCCCCAUAGGGAUCCGCUCUACAUCAUCUUGGUAUCAUGAGCCACGUUGAUCACGUUUUUGGAGCCCCUACCCCUCUUUUUCUAGCUUGAUUUUGUUGAUUUCGUCCUAAAUCCGAAAAUCCCCACAAAAAAUAGCCCCAAUUUUUUGUGAUUUGUUGGUUUGAUAAUGUUUUGUUGAUUUUGAUCCAUGGAUUUGCUUGGUUUCGAGUGGAUCUAGCAUCUCCCCAAGUUUCCCCACUUUCCAUCCACGAAAUCUCUCCAAUGUUGCCCCCGAAAUCAUCAAUUUCCGCCCCAACAUCGAGUUCCUCGAGUUCAUCCUCGAAUUUGGAGCCCGGAGACAUCUGGCCCGACCUCCGGACAUCCGGCCAUCCCGGACAUCCGCCCAUUAGCCUGGACAUCCGGCUCCUGGAGUGCAUUUUCGCGCAAGUUUCUGGACAUCAGGUCCCGGAAAUCUGGCCCGACCCCCGGAUGUCCGGCCCCUCGGAUUUCAGCUUUUUCUGUUUCACCGUUUUGACCAUAACUAAUUCAUUCGGAGUCCGAUUUUGACGUUCUUUAGCUCGUUUUGAAGCUCUUGACAUUCCCAUUCCCACAAAAAUACCACCAACAUCAUUUGACUUCAUCAAAUUUUUGAAAUUUUGGCAAGUUGGCCUAGGGCUUACACCACAUCAUCCGCAUAGCCACCACCGACUUCCGCAACCUAACCCAUUUUGUUCCAUAUAGCAUUAGUGGUUGUUUGAGUUGUGGCUUGUGUCUCCUAAGGUGUUUUGGCUACUUAGGGAUGACAACUUCAACUCCGACACAUGUAUAGCCACCAUUCCACUUCCGCAUAGGCUUGCCCACCAUACACUUCCGCCACCGCAACUUAACCCAUUUUGUUUGUGUUAUGAGUUAUGUCUCCUAAGGUGUUUCGGCUACUUAGGGACGGAAACGUCAACUUUGACACGUGUAUAGCCCGUCAUCCCACUUCCGCAUUGCCAAGUGCAAACUACCACCGCUUUCCGCUACCACCAUUUUGGCAUUUGACGUGUGAAAUUUUGAGCUCGCGGUUUUUCUGUUUCCUAAGGUGUUUCGGCUACUUAGGGACGAGUCUCCAUCAUCUUGGUUUCUACAUCAAGAACACCGCCACUCAUCAUCGCCAAGGACGGUAACCUCCAUAUCAUCUUGGUAUCGUGGUAUCCCUCCAUUGUAUAUUCCCCUUGCCAUUGCAUUGUUAACCCCUAGCCCAUUUUGUGUCACUUGCCUAUCGAGACUGGCCAUUUGAGUAUUGCCGGCAAUGUUACUUGUGCACAUUAGUGAUCCAUACUUCCCAUAGCAUACAUACCAUUUCAUCGUGGUGCAUAUAUUGGUAUCACAUCGUGUGCCACGAGUUUGUUCCCGCAUAUACGCAAUUGCUAUCUUGGUUUGUGCAUUGUGCAAAAGUGGCCAUAGAGAAAAAAAAGAAAUAAAGCUUUUAAGCAAAGAAAAAAAAGAGAGAGCAAAUAAGCUUGUAAGCAAGUGCCAUAGCAUCAUACCACAUUGCAUAUAAGAUUGUCAUAUCCGAUCAUCUUGGAUCAUCUUGCGAGAAACAUCGGGAACCAUACAUACAUAGCAUACUUGGGAUAGAAGUCCAUAUAUUUUGCAUCUUAUAGGUUGUGCACAAGUGUCGUAUCCGCCUAUAGAGAAAUCAUGCUAGCGUCUCUCUUGAGUUGUGCAACACGAGCGUUUUCCAAGGGUUCCACAUUUUGUGCUCAUUCCUUGGUUGCACGACCCCAUUUAUCUAUCCGUGUGUGUAUUUCCGUGUGCCUUCCAUAUUGCUAUUGGUCCAUUUGUUUCACUUGCAGAUUUGUGAAUCUCUUUAAACAUUAUUAACUUUUGCUAACAUUUUGCAUUAAAUUUUUGUGCCACUAUCCUCACCGAGCUCCACCAUAAGCUUUACUUGUGUAGGUGUGAGAACUGACAAGAAUUGGUACCAAUAUGCUAUUUCAUUGUCCGCAUUUGAGUGACCUUGAUUCAUUGUCAACAUCGUUCAAGGUACAUUGGUAUAAGUUCUUAUCUUUCUCCCACUCAUAUUUGCUCGAGUCUUGUGAUGGAUAGGCAAGGCAUUUCAUCUCCGGUCUACGACAACAACGAUGGCGUGAACAACUACAUCAACAAAGCGUCCAUCUUCGAUCUACAACUCCAAAUGCAAGGCGCACAAUCACGAUUGCGAGAGCGCAUCGAGAACAUCUCCAUCGACAUUCGUCACUCUGAAGCAAGGAAAAGGGACUACAUCGACAAGAAGCUUUCCGCACAUAAGGAGGAGCAAGAUGCAAGGAUGGAGGAGAUUAGAGCCUUAAUCAAGUCUUCUUCCCCUUCGUCAUCUUCAAGGCGGCGACAUUCAAGCCACAAGUCUUCGGAGCGCGAAAAUGAUGAAAUUGCAAAUCGUCCUCGUCCACAUCUACAUGGCGACCAGCAUCACGUUCGUGAUCCACAUCGUCAUGAAGGGCAAGUCACCUCCAAGCAUCAUGUGCACGACGAUGACGAACGACGUCUACAGCGAGCUCAAGCACAACAACGACAUCACCAUCACGAAGAUGCUCCACAAGCGCAAAGGCACAAGUCCCAACAAGCCCUAUUUCAUGCCAAGUCCAAGCUUCAUGAGCACAAAAGAAGACUGCGAGACGACCACCACCAAGACGGCGGUACGGCUACCACCACCACUUCGGCAUCUUCGCCAAGUGCUAUCAAGGCAUCUUCACCUUUGUACGUACGGCAUCUUCGCCUAUUUCCCACAUGUACGCCUACUUCGACUUCAUCAAGUCCAAGGCGACUACCUAUGAGCGAGGGCAACACUUCCAUCUUCGGAAGCCCCUCAAGGAGGAUGGCCGAGCAUGGGAAACUCCCUUCGGUCAUGGAGACGAGCUACGAGGUGCCACAUCAUAUGGGCCUCCCACACCAAUACGGUGACAAGAAGGUCGAGCAAGGGCCAUCCCCUUCGACCACGACGAUAGGAGUUGAGCAUGGAGACAUUUGCACCUACAUCUCUCCGACACCCACAUAUGUCGAGAUGCCCCAAGUGCCAUGUGAGGAGAGCCACCACCACAUAAGUGACAUGAGUGACUCCACUAUAUGUGACAUUGAGAGCAUUUCCUAUGAGAGGAUGAGUGUGACCACCACUAGCCCCACACAUGAGAGCAUGCCACACAUCCUAUGUGAGGUUGAGAGCCAUUUCAGUGACUCCACCAACCAUAUGAGUGAGUGCAUUCUUGAGGGAGUGAGUGGGCCACAACACGUAGUGAGUGAGGUAGUUGAGACGACAUGUGAGGCCACUAUGAUUUCUAACGACUUAACCUCUACUCCUAGUGUGUUUUCUUCUUUGGUACUAGGUCACCUACAUGACGACAUGCCUGUUCUCGACGAGUCCAUCCCCCCAAUGGUGACGACGAUGGCCAUGGUGGACGAUGAUACACCCCCCACAUGGUUCCAUCAAGAUGAAGAUGACAACGAGUGGAUCUUCAACACCUCACCUACAACACAUGAGCGACGCACCAAAGCUAACAUAGGUGAUGGUACUUCUCUUGUCCCACUAGUGGACCAUCUUGACAUUGAUUGCUCCCAUGAUGUUGACCCACCUAUUACCAUGCUUCAUGCUAGUGAAACUUCUUCAUGCCUUGACUUACCUAUUUAUGAUGAAUAUGAUGAUGAGCAUGUUGUGUUGCCUAGUUGUGAUGCUAUUCUCCAUACGAUAUCAUGUGAAAAUUCUUUUGGUCACAUCAUGUUUGACAACCCAUUGAACUUGUCAUAUGCUAUGAGUGAGAUCUCACAUAUUGCAUCAUUACAAUCUCAACAUAGUAACUAUGCAUGCCCCAUUAAAAUCAAUCCCAUUUGCACUUAUGGCAUAGAUGACGAGAUGAUGGUCAUUGGCUUUUGCUUCUCUUGUGAUGAUAUCGACAUGCUUCCUUUACAUGAUUUGCGCAAUUCCUCUACUAUGACAUGCCAUGAUCACAUUGUUUCGAAUAUGCAUUGUUUUGGAUGUUGUCAAUAUUCUCCACGUGAUGUUUCUACUCUUGCUCAUGAGGAGAUCCCCAUAGUUUCCUCAUACAUAUUAGGAGAUCUUGAUGCAUUCCAUACUUUGCAUGAUUCCCAUGACUGCGUGCACCAUAUGCAUUCCAUGAAUAAGAAUGCUCUAGAUAUUUCUCAUGAUGCAUUACAACCUUUCAGUCUCCAUUAUGCCAUACAUAACAACAAACCUCUCAUGAUGGAUGACAUGUUUCUAUAUCACGCAUCUCAUUUAUUUGAGCAUUGGAUAUUUUGUGCUAACCGACACAUGCACGUGCGCAUCAUGAUGGAUGAUGUGUACAUAUACGAUGCACACACAAUUUUUCAUUUGUCUUUGUUUUGUGUAGGUACUCAUGUAUACUCGUCAACCUCUCAAUCCCAAGAGUUGACGAAACGAGCUCUUGAGAGCAACGAUGCUUUGGGAUCCCGUGGACUAUCCUUACCACCAUUCCCUUCGCGCAAGGACUACGCGCAUCUCUUUUACUUGGCUCUCACACGGAAUGGGCUAUAUACCAUUUGUCCCCUUAUGCCCAUACUAUCGUGUUCACUUUGCAUGUUAUGCCUCUUUACAUGAUUUUGCCAUGCAAUUGUGACCCUUGCUUGCAUCUACCCAUGAUUCACCAUUAUGCUACUCCUAUGUGUAUUUUCAUGCUUGGUGGAGACCCUUGUUGCUUUUGCCAUGAUUUCUUUGUGCCCCAUGCUAUUGAUGAUUGUUGUGUUGGGAGAGUCAUGAUGACCCAUUGCUAUUUACAUAUGGCUUCUCACCAAUACAUUCAUGCUAUUUUCCUCAUAUCUUGCUUUCAUGCUUGUGCUAUGCCAUGUGAAUUAUUCUUGCACACUAUUUGCACCAAUGACAUGCUUGCCAUGAUUCCUCCUAGUAUGUUGCAUCUUCGCACUACUAGCUUGCGUGACUUGAUCACUAUGAUUGCUUGCUAUGUUGCAUCACCCAUGUUCCACUAUUACUUGCUUUCUUGGGUUGAUGACAUAUAUGCUCAUGCCUCUCACUUGAUUUGUCAUGAUCAUUGUCUCUUGUCUCCAUUAGUUGCAUCUCUCAUAUCACCUUGUAUUGAGUGCCAACUUGCUAUGCUUAUUGAUCUUGGAGACUUGGACACUAUACUUGUGAUGCAUGCUUGUUUGAUUGAGCCUCUUGUAUUUGGUUGUUCUUGCAUCAUAUGCCUCCAUACUAUGAAAUGCUCCCUUGUACUUUCUUAUGAUGAGCAUCAUGCAUACACUUCUUGGGUAUCUUACCACACGAAUGAUAGGUUUUGCACUUCCACUAACCUCAUUUGUUUUUCCGAGUGUUUGACAUGUUCUUUCGUUUUGAAGGAUUCACAAGGAAUUACCAUCAUGAGACAACUUGGUCAUGUGAAGGCAUACAUGAUGUGCGACGCCAACAUUUUCGACAUUCUCAUAAAGGUGAACUCCUUCUCUUUGAGCCAUCCUCAAAUACGCAUAUUGGAUGGGUCACUCUUUAAUUGUUGUUUCCUUCUUGUUGUCUACAUGUUACAUCUAUUAUAUGGAGGAGUGACAUUGGAGAUUGGCUUUAUGAACCUUCACAUUGAGGAGCGCUCGGACUUAUUGGAUGCACCUUCGGACUUCCACUCAUGCCACGACAUUGAGCAUUGGUACAUCAACACUCCUUUAGCACAUUGCACUCACACCUCCAUAAUUGUUGAUUGUGCUCCCACAUGUCAUGCUCGAUGGACAUAUCAUACUCACCACAAGUUUGCACCCUAUGCAUGGAUUGACUCACAUUAUGCUUGCCUUGUUGCAUCUAUUUCCAUGACAUCCAUGAUAUAUGAGCUUGUUCACUUCCUUAGCAAAUUUGUUGUGAUCUUCCUUGAUGGCAUAUUCAUACAUCAUGAUCAUAUUGUCCACCAUCAAUUGCAUGAUAGCUUACACAUAUUGAGCAUCCAUUGCCAUAUUCAUGCUAUUGAUGAACCGUCUCUCUAUGACAUCAUUUUGCACAAUGGUAGAAUUUGUCGCUUUGUGCACCAUGCUAAUUAUCCCAUGAAUGCUUUGCAUAUCAUUCUAGAUCAUCUUGAUAAGCAUCACGUGUCUUGCCAUGCACCAUCUUGCCGCACGGACUCAUAUUUACUUGAUGGACCCUUUGUGUGCGCUAACCAUUGUAUUUCCAAGUGUACUUUGUGUUUGCUCCUUUUGCAUGUAUACCACUCCGGAGACACCUUGGAGUACUUGGAUUGUGUCAUGCCUUCAACUUCGUCCAACUACAUGUCCGUCCACGACAACCGUUUCCAUGGUGAUGGGGAUCACGAUCCGAGGNNNNNNNNNNNNNNNNNNNNNNNNNNNNNNNNNNNNNNNNNNNNNNNNNNNNNNNNNNNNNNNNNNNNNNNNNNNNNNNNNNNNNNNNNNNNNNNNNNNNNNNNNNNNNNNNNNNNNNNNNNNNNNNNNNNNNNNNNNNNNNNNNNNNNNNNNNNNNNNNNNNNNNNNNNNNNNNNNNNNNNNNNNNNNNNNNNNNNNNNNNNNNNNNNNNNNNNNNNAUGAUGCGGAGCAUCCCACGUUCAUCCCCAUGUACACUCCGACUACUCUCCAAGCCCCAAGGAUACAUAAGAUGAGGCCUCGACUAUGCACCAUUGCACACAAGGUGAAUUCACUCCUCUUCGAACCGUCACUUUCCGCAUGCAAGAUAUGGAUGCUACCUCAAGCGCGAACCUUGUGCAUACUCAGGUACACCCGAGGAGGCCAUGGAGAGCGCAAGGACCAAGGCCAAGUGUGCGCGGGAGCAAAGGAAGAAGAAGGAAGAAGAGUCUGCUGCUACAGCAGCCGGACAUCCGGCCAUGUCCCGGACAUCCGGCUGAUCAAUUGAAAGUAUAGCGGGGUUUUUACGCCCCAAACUACGGAUGUCGUGUUCUCCACAGGGACUAGGCAAUCAGUGUCUAUGCUCGACUAAAGCUAGGUAAUACAAUUCAGAUGAUGGGAACAGAAAAUAAACCUAAACUAUGAAGAUUGUCGCCAAUGAAAAUGCGUAUAAGCAAAGGUAGAUUCAGAUUUUACUAACUUUCCUUGGUAUUUUUGUUUUACUAGAGACGCUAAAACACUAACAUAAAGGGAAGCAAUGGGACACGAACACAUAUAUUACUAUCAUACAAGUAACAAAGGGGAAGAAAGAAUGCUAUGACAGAGACACAAAUAUAUCACAACACAAACAUAUAUAUUUUCACAUGAACGUAAUUAACACAGGGACUACAGAACACACAUAAGCACACAUAUGCGAACAGGGUGCUACACCAUAAUUCAGGUUACACAAGUAAACAAAUUAAACAAGCCACUUGACUAGUAUCACAGAUCAACAGAGUAGUAUUGAACAACUAAAAAUAGAUAGUAGAAGUAACUAGUACAGGAAGCAAGUACUCUUAGAAUCUGAAUGUUACAGACUACAAGUCUCAAACUACAGAAAAUUCAGAGAAGAGAAGGAGAAAGAGAGAUGGCAGCAGGAGAUUAGAGAAAGAAGAAGAAGCAACUGGGGCAUGGAGAAAGGAGCAACAACAGUACGGGAUUCAGAGAAGAACUAAGAGCAGCAGCUAAAGAGAAGGGCAGCAGGGGGCGCAUUAGAAGAAGGAGCAGCAGCAGGUUGGCGAUGGGGAAGAAGAGCAGCAGCAGUAGGGAUUCAGAGAGGAAGAACCAGCAGGUUGAGGCAACAGCAACAAGGGGCGUUGGAGAUGUAGUAGUAACAGUAGGAAGAGAAGAAGGACGACAGCACGGGGUUCAGAGAAGAGCAGCAGCAGGUGGCGCGGGGAAGGUUAGGAGUAGCAACGAGAUUGGGGAAAGAAGAAGGUUAGGAGCAGCAGGAGAUUGAGAGUGGUGGCGCUGGGUGUUGUGGAGGCGCGCUGGUGGUACUGGAUGGCGCGGUGGUGAAGUGGAGAUGCGGAGGCGCUGGGUGAAGGUGGAGAUGUUGGAUGGCACUGGCUGCAUGGAUGGCUGGGAGGUGAUGGUGUUGCUGGUGGAUGGAUGGCACUGGUUGGCGCACCACCACACCGGCCUGGCCGUGGCGGUAGCCGGAGGUGGAGAAGGAGGUUGGGGGAGAGAGAUGUGUGCCAGGCCCGAUCGGAUGCCUCCAGCGCCUAGGGAUUUUGUUCCCCUCCUCUCAUCUGCACUUUGUGAUUUGGCCCUCUUUCUUCUCGUCUUUCUUCAAAAGAAGGUCCUCCCACUUCUUUAUCUAGCUCCCUGGUUACUUCUCU